GGAGAGAUGGUUGAGUGGACUAAAGCGUCGAAUUACUAAUCGGUUGUGCAAAUUUUUGUACCGAGGGUUCAAAUCCCUCCCUUUCCG
rfam:Glycine soja cultivar W05 scaffold17560_1, whole genome shotgun sequence.